rnacentral:lncRNA from 13 species
CGCCGUUCCUCACGGCCCCCGUGCUCGGCAACUUUGGGGGAAUACGCGGCGGUUUCAGAGGCAAAUCAAGCUCUGACAGCGCAGCCGGAGGGACGCGGGGGGAAGCGGCAGCGUCGCGGCUGUCGCUCCUGCAGGCGCUCGCUGCCUGCUCCCCGUGGGUCUUGUAGUUUGGAAACAAGGUACCGAACAUGUGGGGAAGGCUGAUAAUCUCCAAAGUGUCUGUGAUUAAGUGAAACCAGCAAAUUGAGAUGCUUAGACAAUUAGUAAUCUUGGCGUGGAGGAAAAAAAAAAAAGAAGAAGAAGAAAAAGAAGGAGGAGGAAUCAAAGAAGAACGGAGGGUUUGGGGUUUAUUUUUAUUUGGUUUUAUUUAUCUUAUUUUAGCUCUCCCUCCCCCUCCCGUCCUUCCAAUUUCCCGAGCUUGUUCCAGUUGGAUUCGAAGCGAGGGCGAAGCGGAGCCCUCCCUGCCCCAACCCGGGCUCGGGCAGGGCCGCCUCGCUGCUGCUCUGCUGGCACGGAGGGACACGCGGGGCUCUGGCAGGGUGUGCCGGGCUGCCAGCCCCGCUCCCGUCGCUGGCCGUGGCCCCGUGCCCAUCGCGGCCCCCGCGCUGGCAGCGCUGGGAGCGGAGCUCUGCCCACACCAAAGAUGCGGGAUGGCAAAGCCGCUGCCCAGCGGAGCCAGGGCUGCUGUCCCCGGGCUGCUGUCCCGCAGCUGCCGCCCAGCACGGCUGCAGGUGCUGCCUGCGGCACUCAGCAGGGUGAUCGCCACCGUGGGUCCGGCUCGGCAGCUGCCGAGCGCUGUCCCCGCACUGCUGCGUGCCCGGUGCCCCGAUGUGCUCCGUGCCACCCUGUUGCCAGGGCAGGGCGCAGCUGGCACUGCCCCUGGGCGGCCCUGGGCUCAGGGCAGCAGCGAAAGCUGGCCAGGAGCAGGGCAGGGGGGCUUGCUGGAUCCACAUGAAACCAUGGAAUGGGUUGGAUUGGGAGGGACCUUAAAGAUCAUCCCAUUCCACCCCUGCCAUGGGCAGGGACACCUCCCACUGUCCCAGGCUGCUCUGAGCUCCGUCCAGCCUGGCCUUGGGCACUGCCAGGGAUCCAGGGGCAGCCACAGCUGCUCUGGACACCCUGUGCCAGGGCCUGCCCACCCUCCCAGGGAACAAUUCCUUCCCAAGAUCCCACCCAGCCCUGCCCUCCUUCAGUUUAAGGCCAUUCCCCCUUUCCCUGUCACUCCAUGCCCGUGUGAAAAGGGCUCCAGCCUCCUUGUAAGCCCCCUUAGAUA